rnacentral:snRNA from 1 species
ACGACCUUCCCCGAAUAGAGGAGGACCGGUCUUCGGUCAAGGGUAUACGAGUAGCUGCGCUCCCCUGCUAGAACCUCCAAACAAGCUCUCAAGGGUUUAUGAUUUAUUGAUAUCUGAAUUUUCCCCCUUCUCCCCAAUAUCUGGAUUUUUUGUUAUUUACAUAUUAGAUAGUUAU